AGGAAUCUUGCUUCAGCCAUAAACAAGAUGACAAAUUAAAGGUUCAUGAACAAAAGAAGGAGGUAUUCAAGACAUUGUUCUAGGUGCUGAGGGAACAGCAAUGAAAUGCAAAGACACAGUCUCUGUCCUGGUAACAGAUGAAGCUGGAAAGAGUAAGCAAAGUUGGAAUGUGGACUUUGGCCUUUAUCUGAAAAGUAAUAAUAGAAAGUUACUCAAAGGUUUUGGGCAGUUUAUUCUAAUGUGUAACAACAGCCGUCUCCUUCAUAUGAGAAGAUUAAUAACUUGGGCAAUACUCCUGGUAGAUCUGCCAUUUGGCUAAGCUUAUAGAAAGACUCCCAAACAGUUGUGUUCAGCUCCAUCUUGUGUGGAGAGAGAAGUGUUCCUCAUCAUGUCAUAUGCUCACACAGAUUGUCCAGAUUUGAGGAUUGAAUUCCCUCCACACCGUGUGGUCCCAGUUACCCCUCUCCUGCCUCCCUUCCUCAUUCCAGUGCUAGGUUAUCCAGUCACUGGAUAUGGAAAAACUGCAUUCCACUGGAUCCUUGCUUCUAUGUUUCUGUUUCUGUCUGAGGUGCCAGCAAGAGAAGAAAAGAAAUACACAGGAAGCAUACUAGUAGGCUGAGCUGGGAUUCUGCUACACGUUCAGAUGACAGGUCACCUAUAGACAGAUGAUUCCGGGAUCAAUCUGGAGUUCUUAAUAUUACCAGGAAGAGGCUCAGAAGGCUGGAAAUAUGGGCAAAAGAUCAUCUUGAAAACCACACAGAGCUACGGAGUUCUGGU